GGCAGGGGGAGCAAGAUGGCAUCACUGACCCAGGUUCUCGUGUUCCUGCUGUUAUGUGUAUCUGGUACCUGUGGGGAAAUUGUGAUGACCCAGUCUUCAUCAUCCCUGGCUGUGUCUGCAGGAGAGAAGGCCACUAUUAGCUGCAAGACCAGUCAGAGUCUUUUAUGGAUUGGAAACCAAAGGAGCUGUUUGGUCUGGCACCAGUGGAAACCAGGGCAAACUCCUAAACCACUGAUCACCUGGGCAUCCACUAGGCAACCUGGGGUCCCUGAUCGCUUCAUAGGCAGUGGAUCUGGGACAGAUUUCACUCUCACUAUCAGCAAUGUGCAAGCUGAAGACGUGGGAGUUUAUUUCUGUCAACAGCAUUUAGAGACUCCUCCCACAGUGCUUCAGCCUCCUACACAAACCUUCUUGAGUCUCACCAGCUGUCUGCAUCACCCAGCCCUGGCCUGCACACUCCUCCUUCUGCCUGAGAGCUGGUGUGCCUGAAAAACAGAGGAAAAA